rnacentral:rRNA from 3 species
GAUUCGUCACACUAUCAUUAACUGAAUCCAUAGGUUAAUGAGGCGAACCGGGGGAACUGAAACAUCUAAGUACCCCGAGGAAAAGAAAUCAACCGAGAUUCCCCCAGUAGCGGCGAGCGAACGGGGAGGAGCCCAGAGCCUGAAUCAGCAUGUGUGUUAGUGGAAGCGUCUGGAAAGGCGCGCGAUACAGGGUGACAGCCCCGUACACAAAAGCGCAUGUGCUGUGAGCUCGAUGAGUAGGGCGGGACACGUGGUAUCCUGUCUGAAUAUGGGGGGACCAUCCUCCAAGGCUAAAUACUCCUGACUGACCGAUAGUGAACCAGUACCGUGAGGGAAAGGCGAAAAGAACCCCGGCGAGGGGAGUGAAAAAGAACCUGAAACCGUGUACGUACAAGCAGUGGGAGCACCCUUCGGGGUGUGACUGCG